rnacentral:rRNA from 1 species
GCAAGUCGAACGGUAACAUAAGCGCUUGCGCUUGAUGACGAGUGGCGCACGGGUGCGUAACGCGUAUACAAUCUACCUCUAUCUGGAAGAUAGCCCGAAGAAAUUCGGAUUAAUACUCCAUAAUAUUACAACUUCGCAUGUUGAUGUAAUUAAAGCUUUGGCGGAUAGAGAUGAGUAUGCGUCCUAUUAGCUUGUUGGUGAGGUAAUGGCUCACCAAGGCUGCGAUAGGUAGGGGGCCUGAGAGGGUGAUC